ensembl:lncRNA
GCCCCGUUUGUCUUAGCUAGACUAUUUAAAACAGAUAGCGCUCACACCCUUAAUCCUAUACCCUUAGGCCUAACAUUAUACCACCAAUCAAUUUUGGCAUCACACUCUCUAGAAGUAGGUAAGUAGAGAAACAGAGAAGUUCAAGUUCUCAUAAUGAACAGCAAAGUUCUUUAGCAAACAGCAGAACCUGAGUACAGCAAUCUGACUCCAGAACCUCAGUUCCUAACUGUUCCACCAUGCUGGCUUCUAUGGGUACGCAUUAGAUUGUUCCUUCCGUGAUCUCACUCGGGGGUGAGCUAUUCAGUCGGAGAAAUAGAGCUCCGGGGACAGCAACCUGAAAUCAAUCAAAAGCAUUGUGAGAACAAGAGAUUUCGAAGCAACCGGCCAGGUCUCCAGGAAGUCACUCAGGCAGGAGCUGGGGAACUGUACAAAAUGGCGACAGGGGUGGAGCAAGAGGAUCUGUGAAGGACGUGAAGCUUUGACCAGGCUGUGCGGCAGGCUGUAUUAUGAUUGGCUGGAGGCACUGUUCUGCUGCCUUCUCUGUGUCCUGUGACAUCACUUACGUGUCUCACCGUUAGCAGACUCUCAACCCCCAGAUCCAGGAACAGGAGGGCCACACCCAACAGCUAUAAAGGCAGGAAGCAUCCACAAGACUGAAGCACAAAAACAUGAAAACCAAGUGUGUGUGCACAACGUUCCAACUAACCGUCAUGCAGAAGUCUGUUUCACACACAUCAGAUGGCACCCUGUGUGACACAACGCAGACCCGCAGACCCCUGUGUGUGGAUUCUACGGACUGUUAGGGGAAGAUUGUCUCUGUCCAUUGGGAGGGAAGGACUACAAGCUGCAAACAGUCAGAUGGAUUUUGUAAAUCAGGUUGCUCAUGUAUUCUUUUUUUGAAAAAGGAUUUUUUGAGAGCCGUUGUCAUCUCACAGCAAAAUUAAAAGAAAGGCACAGAGAUUUCCCAUGAAUCUCUCGGGCCUGCAUUUAUCCAGUCUUCCCCAUUAACACACUGGGAGGCUGAGACUGGAGGACUGCAAGUUCCAGCCCAGCCUGGAUGACUUAUCAAGACGCUGUCUGAAAAUAAAGAAAAAUAAAAGGCCUGGGAAUUUAAACAUAGGAUGUUUGGACUGUAUCCAAUAGAAUCACAUGAAUGCUGUCUCAUACUUGAACAGUUCAAAGUUUCUGGGCUGGAACCUAGGAUCUAUAAACACACAUUACAGGUUAUUCUUACUUCUGCUGUCGUCUUAACACCACAACAGAGUCCCAGCUGUGCUUCGGGAAUGAAGAGGGACCAGUGUUCCUCACAGAGAUCACCCAGACCAGGAGCCAGCAGUGACAGAUCCCUUAGGGGAGACCCGGUAGGUUCUGCUAUUCCGCAGAGCCUCCCUGACCACUGGUGCCCUUAGUCUGACACUGUAGGAUCUGGGCUUUCCUGUGGACUUCGACUCUUUCCGGAGAGGCCCAGAGAUGCCUUGUCUGCUAUUUGCCACAUGACGAAGCCCAAGACUCCUCGCUGAUCUGCUGCUAAAUUUAAGAAGGUUUGUUGCAAAAGAACCUAUCCUACAAGCGGGAGCAGUUGCACUGCUAAGCGUUUCACUGGAGCAGAAUCAAAGGUGGAAACGACUAACCUCCUGAGGUCUGCAGCUGCGGAACGGAACAGUCCAUGACCCCAUCCCCACCCCACCCCAGGGCUCUGUGUGGUCAAUCCCAUCCUUUCCCUCCCUCCAAUGCUUGUUUCAGUAUUAAUCUCCCAGAAAGCAAAACUGAAACUUUGUUCUGCUCCCAGUAUGAUUAAGCAUAUCACAUGCUACAGGAAGCAACAGAAUCAAGCAAUAAAAUAAAGCUUUCUUAGAAGAACU